UACGAAGGGGGCUAGCGUUGCUCGGAAUCACUGGGCGUAAAGCGCACGUAGGCGGCUUGCUAAGUCAGGGGUGAAAUCCUGGAGCUCAACUCCAGAACUGCCUUUGAUACUGGCGACCUUGAGUCCGGGAGAGGUGAGUGGAACUGCGAGUGUAGAGGUGAAAUUCGUAGAUAUUCGCAAGAACACCAGUGGCGAAGGCGGCUCACUGGCCCGGUACUGACGCUGAGGCACGAAAGCGUGGGGAGCAAACAGG
rnacentral:rRNA from 1 species